rnacentral:rRNA from 1 species
CCCCUAGGUGUUCUGGGCCGCACGCGCGCUACACUGAACAGUUCAACAAGUCUUAACCUUGGCCGAUAGGUCUGGGUAAUCUUUGAACGCUGUUCGUGAUUGGGAUAGACCUUUGCAAUUAUGGGUCUUCAACGAGGAAUUCCUAGUAAACGCAAGUCAUCAGCUUGCAUUGAUUACGUCCCUGCCCUUUGUACACACCGCCCGUCGCACCUACCGAUUGAAUGGUCCGGUGAAAUCUCGGGACGGCGGCUUGGUCGCUUGCGUCCGACUGCUGAAACUUGAUUAAACCAUAUCAUUUAGAGGAAGGUGAAGUCGUAACA